AGUGAGACAACAGGAAGAACUUCCCAACAGCAAAGAGUGUGAACUAUGCGAAUACGUGAAGGCGGCUGCAAACCAUCUUCUCUAACUCUUAAGGAUAGAGAGACAUUGGAGGAGCCAGCAUUUGGAUCCCAAGGGUUGUUUAUUUUGACUCACUGCUGUUUUUGCUGGAGAAGGGUAAAACAGAAAGUUCCUUUACUUUGGCUAAGAUGUGGCACACAUAACUGCCCUGAGCCCGAAUUUCUGAUGAGCAAAUAGAAGCGGACCAGUGGUUCAAUCUUCCUUCAUCAUCUUCAAAAAGAAUAACACCCAAGGGCACAUAGGAUUGGCUUCUCUACAUUUCAAUUUAAGAGAAAUGGAAAGAAGACUCAUCUACCACUGAAGAUACCUGAACUCAAAAAUGAAAAAUAAGAUGGCCUCCCUGAUCAGCUCCAGGUUCUUCCUUCCUAGUUCUGGCUCCUGGACACCUCAUGACCACAUUGCGCAUUUGCACUCUUAGUGAGUGCUGCUCAUAACAGGGUAUUAUGAUUCCUCUUAUAGAGUCCACCUUUCAUUCCAAAUUGUGAGGCUGCUGGAUGGCAGAAUAAGUUCUGGGCACAUAGUAGGUGCACAAUAAACAUUUGUUAAACCAAAA